GCUGUGGUAGUGUAAUGAUAAGCACUUCUGCCUAGGAAGCAAGAAGACCCGGGUUCGAGUCUCGGCCGCAGCA